rnacentral:rRNA from 1 species
CACGUAGGGGGCGAGCGUUGUCCGGAUUUAUUGGGCGUAAAGAGCUCGUAGGCGGUUUCGUAGGUCGGAUGUGAAAACUCCAGGCUCAACUUGGAGACGCCAUUCGAUACUGCGAUGACUUGAGUCCGGAAGGGGCGAGUGGAAUUCCUGGUGUAGCGGUGAAAUGCGUAGAUAUCUGGAGGAACACCGGUGGCGAAGGCGGCAUCCUGGACCGGUAUUGACGCUGAGGCGCGAAAGCCAGGGGAGCAAACGGG